GACGAACGCUGGCGGCGUGCUUAACACAUGCAAGUCGAACGGAAAGGCCCUUCUUUUGUGGGGUGCUCGAGUGGCGACCGUGUGAGUAACACUUUAGUAACCUGCCCUUUACUUUGUGAUAACUUCAGGAAACUGGGGCUAAUACCCGAUAGGAUCUCCUGCUGCAUGGUGGGGGUUGGAAAGUUUCGGCGGUUGGGUAUGGAGUCGCGUCUUCUCAGCUUGUUGGUGGGGUAGUGGCUUACCAAGGCUUUGACGGGUAGCCGGCCUGAGAGGGUGACCGGCCACAUUGGGACUGAGAUACGGCCCAGACUCCUACGGGAGGCAGCAGUGGGGAAUAUUGCACAAUGGGCGGAAGCCUGAUGCAGCAACGCCGCGUGCGGGAUGACGGCCUUCGGGUUGUAAACCGCUUUCGCCUGUGACGAAGCGUGAGUGACGGUAAUGGGUAAAGAAGCACCGGCUAACUACGUG
rnacentral:rRNA from 1 species